rnacentral:rRNA from 1 species
CCUACGUGGAGCUGCAGUGGGGAAUAUUGGACAAUGGGCGAAAGCCUGAUCCAGCCAUGCCGCGUGUGUGAAGAAGGCCUUCGGGUUGUAAAGCACUUUCAGUGGGGAAGAAAGCCUUGGGGCUAAUACCCUCGAGGAAGGACAUCACCCACAGAAGAAGCACCGGCUAACUCCGUGCCAGCAGCCGCGGUAAUACGGAGGGUGCGAGCGUUAAUCGGAAUUACUGGGCGUAAAGCGCGCGUAGGCGGUCUGAUAAGCCGGUUGUGAAAGCCCCGGGCUCAACCUGGGAACGGCAUCCGGAACUGUCAGGCUAGAGUGCAGGAGAGGAAGGUAGAAUUCCCGGUGUAGCGGUGAAAUGCGUAGAGAGCGGGAGGAAUACCAGUGGCGAAGGCGGCCUUCUGGACUGACACUGACGCUGAGGUGCGAAAGCAUGGGUAGCAAUCAGGAUUAGAUACCCCAGUAGUC